rnacentral:rRNA from 1 species
UACAGAGGUGGCAAGCGUUGUUCGGAAUUACUGGGCGUAAAGGGCGCGUAGGCGGCCUACUAAGUCAGACGUGAAAUCCCCCGGCUUAACCUGGGAACUGCGUCUGAUACUGGAAGGCUUGAGUAUGGGAGAGGGAUGUAGAAUUCCACGUGUAGCAGUGAAAUGCGUAGAGAUGUGGAGGAACACCGAUGGCGAAGGCAGCCCCCUGGGUUAACACUGACGCUCAGGCACGAAAGCGUGGGGAGCAAACAGG